rnacentral:rRNA from 1 species
AGCAGCCGCGGUAAUUCCAGCUCCAAUAGCGUAUAUUAAAGUUGUUGUGGUUAAAAAGCUCGUAGUUGAACCUUGGGCCUGGCUGGCCGGUCCGCCUCACCGCGUGUACUGGUCCGGCCGGGCCUUUCCCUCUGUGGAACCCCAUGCCCUUCACUGGGCGUGGCGGGGAAACAGGACUUUUACUGUGAAAAAAUUAGAGUGCUCCAGGCAGGCCUAUGCUCGAAUACAUUAGCAUGGAAUAAUAGAAUAGGACGUGUGGUUCUAUUUUGUUGGUUUCUAGGACCGCCGUAAUGAUUAAUAGGGACAGUCGGGGGCAUCAGUAUUCAAUUGUCAGAGGUGAAAUUCUUGGAUCUACUGAAGACUAACUACUGCGAAAGCAUUUGCCAAGGAUGUUUUCAUUAAUCAGGAACGAAAGUUAGGGGAUCGAAGACGAUCAGAUACCGUCGUAGUCUUAACCAUAAACUAUGCCGACUAGGGAUCGGACGGUGUUAUUUUUCGACCCG